rnacentral:rRNA from 1 species
UACAGAGGUCUCAAGCGUUGUUCGGAUUCAUUGGGCGUAAAGGGUGUGUAGGUGGCGCGCUAAGUCGGGUGUGAAAUCUCGGAGCUUAACUCCGAAACUGCAUUCGAUACUGCCGUGCUUGAGGACUGGAGAGGAGACUGGAAUUUACGGUGUAGCGGUGAAAUGCGUAGAUAUCAUAAGGAAGACCAGUGGCGAAGGCGGGUCUCUGGACAGUUCCUGACGCUGAGGCACGAAGGUCAGGGGAGCAAACGGG